CACCGAAGCCUGCGGUAUAUUUGCUGUUAGGCAAUGUGGUGUUUGGGUCGGCUGGCGGGACCGUAACUCCACUCGAAGUCCAGCAUUGAGUAUGGUUAUCAUUGGAUUUGGCCCAUAGAGGGUGAGAGGCCCGUACGAGUGGAGGUGCAGACAUGUGAGACGGUUCACCAGGUCGGCCUUAGAGUCGGGUUGUUUGAGAUUGCAGCCCAAAGUGGGUGGUAAACUCCAUCCAAGGCUAAAUACGGGCACGAGUCCGAUAGCGAACAAGUACCGUGAGGGAAAGUUGAAAAGUACUCUGAAGAGAGAGUAAACAGUACGUGAAACCGCAUGCAGGUAAACGGGUGGCGUCAAACCGCGAGCCCGGAGGAUUCAGCUGGCUGGGUUGUAUUGUGUUCUAGUGGUCCGCUCUCUCUUUGUGAGGGUGGAGUGAAGUGUGAGGUGUGUGUGUAUGUGUGGCUGGGUAUUACGCACUUGUGGUGUAGUGCCAUYGUCAUUGUGCCUGCCCCUCCUYUUGAGCUAUGUGUGCCGGGUGUGUGCCGGAAUAUGCCACUAGUUUGUAGGGCGGCCUGGUCAGUGCAUUUUCUCUGUGGUAAACAUCACGANCCGAUGGAAUUGCCAGUCCACCGUGGUCAAGUUGUGCUCAUGUGACUGUUGGGUGUGGGGGGCCGUUGGUUUACCUUCUUCCCCCUCUCUCAAUUUAGCUAUGUGGGCGUGAUCGCAGGUGGAGCGAGUAAACGGCGUAGUGAUGUUUCGGCAUUGCUACGUGCUAUCGUGUACUUACCGCCAACGAGUUGUUGUGUAGUGGAUGUGACUUGACUACAUAGCGACUUGGCGGACUGCGGUGGUAAAAAUGACUGUGCAAGGCAUCGGCUUUAUCCACCUCACAUGUAUGUAUGUAUGCGUCUGUUAUGGGCGUAUAUGUAUGUAUGUGUAUGUAUCCGGCAGGUGUUUCACAUACGCCAUUUUUGGAGGCGCGUUGCUGUGUGUAUACAUUAUGCGUGAUUGCCGUUUUGCCUACAAAAAGUAGGUGCGGCAGUGGUAUAGUGUAUUAUUAGAUGCACGGUAUUUUUACGCUGUCUCUAAGUAUGCAUGUGAUACAGUGGGUGUAAUAGUCAGUGAUGCUGUGGUAGACGAGCUACCCGACCCGUCUCGAAACACGGACCAAGGAGUUUAACAUGUGUGCGAGUCAAAGGGCUUUACGAAACCCCAAGGCGUAGUGAAAGUAAAAUUUGUAUUAUCCUAUCCUUUGUGGUAAGAUUAUACAAUGUGGUGAGAUCUUACUGUGUAUUUAUUUAUUUAUUGAAGCAGUGAGCGCAUCACCGGCCCGUCCCAUGAUGUGGUCAUUGGCUAUUGGCUAUUAAUGUGCACAUUAGUGUAUAUUAGUGUCAGCUGAUGCGUCAUCGGGGCGGAGCAUGAGCACACACGUUGAGACCCGAAAGAUGGUGAACUAUGCUUGCGUAGGUUGAAGCCAGAGGAAACUCUGGUGGAGGACCGUAGCGAUUCUGACGUGCAAAUCGAUCGUCAAACGUGAGUAUA
rnacentral:rRNA from 1 species